GCACGUCACUUCCUGUUUCUUUAGGGAACGUGGCUUUCCCAGCUGCGCCCGUUCCUGCCUCUGAGUUCCUGCGGCGGCCGGAGCUGGAGUCAGAACCCGAGCGCAGCCUUGCCAUGGACUCGGCACUCAGCGACCCACACAACGGCAGCGCCGAGACAGGCGGCGCGGCCAACGGCACGACGCGGCCGCCCUCCACUCCCGAGGGUAUUGCGCUGGCCUACGGCAGCCUGCUGCUCAUGGCGCUCCUUCCCAUCUUCUUCGGCGCCCUGCGCUCCGUGCGCUGUGCCCGCGGCAAGAAUGCCUCAGACAUGCCUGAAACCAUCACCAGCCGGGAUGCUGCCCGCUUCCCCAUCAUAGCCAGCUGCACGCUCCUGGGACUCUACCUCUUUUUCAAAAUAUUCUCCCAGGAGUACAUCAACCUCUUGCUGUCCAUGUAUUUCUUCGUGCUGGGGAUCCUGGCCCUGUCCCACACCAUCAGCCCCUUCAUGAAUAAGUUUUUUCCAGCCAACUUCCCAAAUCGACAGUACCAGCUGCUCUUCACUCAGGGCUCUGGGGAAAACAAGGAAGAGAUCGUCAAUUAUGAGUUUGACACUAAGGACCUGGUGUGCCUGGCCCUAAGCAGCAUCGUUGGCGUCUGGUACCUGCUGAGGAAGCACUGGAUUGCCAACAACCUUUUUGGCCUGGCCUUCUCACUGAAUGGGGUGGAACUGCUGCAUCUGAACAACGUCAGCACUGGCUGCAUCCUGCUGGGUGGACUCUUCAUCUACGAUGUCUUCUGGGUAUUUGGCACCAAUGUUAUGGUGACAGUGGCCAAGUCCUUUGAGGCACCAAUAAAAUUGGUGUUUCCCCAGGAUCUGCUGGAGAAGGGCCUUGAAGCGGACAACUUUGCCAUGCUGGGACUUGGAGAUGUCGUCAUUCCAGGGAUCUUCAUUGCCUUGCUGCUGCGUUUUGACAUCAGCUUGAAGAAAAACACCCAUACCUACUUCUACACCAGCUUUGCAGCCUACAUCUUCGGCCUGGGCCUUACCAUCUUCAUCAUGCACAUCUUCAAACACGCCCAGCCUGCCCUCCUGUACCUGGUUCCUGCCUGCAUCGGCUUUCCCGUCCUGGUGGCUCUGGCAAAAGGAGAAGUGACAGAGAUGUUCAGCUACGAGUCCUCAGCGGAAAUCCUGCCUCAUACCCCGAGGCUCACCCACUUCCCCACAGUUUCGGGCUCCCCUGCCAGCCUGGCCGACUCCAUGCAACAGAAGCUAGCUGGGCCUCGUCGCCGGCGCCCGCAGAAUCCCAGCGCCAUGUAAUGCCCAGCGGGUGUCCACCUGCCCGCUCCCCCCCACUGCCCUGGGCCCAAGUUAUGAGGAAUCAAAUCCUAAAGAUCCAGCAGCAGUGACAGAGUCCAAAGAGGCAACAGAGGCGUCAGCAUCGAAGGGCCUGGAGAAGAAGGAAAAAUGAUGCCGCUGGUGCUUUGAGACCAACCAGACAGGCGCAAGAUGGACAUGCAGGGCAGGGCUGGACAGGAAGCUGAUGACCGCUCCAGGACUGGAGAGCACCAGCAGGAUUCCUCCAUGGCCUCUGUUUCCCUUUGUCCUGUCUCUGGCCUCUCUGCUCCUCCUCAGCCCUACAGGCAAGGGAAACCCCAGCUUCCUCCCUCCCCAGGAGCCAGGUGGAACACUGGGUAUGAUUUUUAGAUUUUUGUAUUGUGGACUGACUUUGCCUCGUAUUAAAACUCAUCCCAUGGCCAGCCAGGCUGCUGUGCUCCUGGAGCCUGGAAGCUUCUCUGUGUA